rnacentral:rRNA from 1 species
GACGAACGCUGGCGGCGUGCUUAACACAUGCAAGUCGAACGAAGUGGCGAACGGGUGAGUAACGCGUAAUCAACCUGCCCUUCAGAGGGGGACAACAGUUGGAAACGACUGCUAAUACCGCAUACUGAAGGAGGGGAUUGCGUCGGGUUAGCUAGUUGGAGGGGAAACGGCCCACCAAGGCGAUGAUCAGUAGCCGGUCUGAGAGGUGGAACGGCCACAUUGUGACUGGAGAACGGCCCAGACGCCUACAGUAGGCAGCCGUGGGGAAUCUUCCGAAAUGGACGAAAGUCUGACGGAGCAACGCCGCGUGGGUUGUGACAGCCUUCGGGUUGUAAAGCUCUGUUAAUCGGGACGCGGUACCGGAAGAGAAAGCCACGGCUAACUACGUGCCAGCAGCCGCGGUAAUUC